CAACAGUGCUGUGAUGGCAGCUGCAGGCUCCUGUCUGAACUGGGGCUCUUGAGGUGCCUGGGGCUGGGCUGAGUUUCUGUGUGAUGGUGAGAGGUUCUGGGGACACACAGCUCUACAAGCUCUGGAAAUGCAGUUGUCAACCCUUCAGCGUCACAAUUUGCAGCAACAGGAUGAGCAAAUCAAAGGAAAGCCACAUUUUAAAUUCUCCGAAUCUUAGUCAAGUGGAGUUCUUGUUCUGCAGACAGCUCUGGGGAAGAAUCUGGAAAUAUGAAUAUCAUUUGGAGAGGAAGAUGGGAUACUGCUCUUAAGUGACCACAGAAAGCUCUCUCCUGCCAGAACUAACAGUACAUUCCACUUUCUGAUCCAGCCAGGGCUGAUCCACACUCAGGUGACUCAUCAGGAGAAAAGUAGAUCUUCCUCAUAUUCUAUUCAGUACAAAUAAUAAGCAUUAAUUAUGUGAUCACAAUGGAAGAGAAUGCUGACCAUAACAAGAGGAAGGAGCAUGACUAAAAUUGGUAACUUGCACUGAGAAGCUGAUCCAGGUGUGUGGUUCCUGAAAGGACAGAUGAACCAGAAUAAAACAGACUCAG